rnacentral:lncRNA from 1 species
AUGAGAGCAGUUAUGACACUGAACUGUGAAGCUCGUACCAGUACCAGAACAACUUCAGAGACACCACAACAAGAAGAGGUGCAGCCAGAUUCAGUACAAACAAGAGUUCUGAAAUGGGCUCAUAACACCCGCUCAGGAUCUGAAGCAACUGCUGCUGGAUUAAAUCGUGGUCCUUGGGAACGGAGUCCCAAGGUGGGACGAAAAUUCAACUGCAGAACCUGUGCUGCCAACUGGGAGCCACAAGUCCUAUGUGAAACUGUAAGUGGGUUCCCCAACAGAAAAGCUUUGGAAGCACUAUUCAAAAAUAACUACUCACAGGAAAACUUGGGAGUGCUACUUAUAGUGGCUCACGUAGGAUAGAAGGUAAUGGAAUAUGUAGGUGAGAGAGAAAAUGUUCUCCUUUAAACACAGCAAUAUGUGUAAGAUGAGUCAUGCCUCCUGGUCUUUAAUUUGACAUUGUCAUAGUAAAAAUAAAAGAUACAAAAGCUAAAUAGAAAAUGUUAAU